rnacentral:rRNA from 1 species
CGUGACCGUACCGCAAACCGACACAGGUAGAUGGGUAGAGAAUACCAAGGCGAACGGGAGAACCCUUGUUAAGGAAUUAGGCAAAUUAAGUCCGUAACUUAGGGAAAAGGACUGCCACUGGUUGUGAGGGCGACUAGCUUGUCUGAGCGAUUGGUGGUCGCAGCGAAAUGGCUCUGCCGACUGUUUAACAAAAACACAGGUCUCUGCGAAAGCGAAAGCUGACGUAUAGGGGCUGACGCCUGCCCAGUGCCGGAAGGUUAAGGGGAGAGGUGAUGAGCUCUGAACCGAAGCCCCGGUGAACGGCGGCCGUAACUAUAACGGUCCUAAGGUAGCGAAAUUCCUUGUCGGGUAAGUUCCGACCCGCACAAAAGGCGUAACGAGCAGAGCACUGUCUCAACAAGGGACCCGGCGAAGUUGAAAUAGCGGUGAAGAUGCCGUUUACCCGCAGCAGGACAAAAAGACCCCGUGGAGCUUUACUGUAGCUUGACAUUGAGUUAGGGCUUUGUCUGUGUAGGAUAGGUGGGAGGCUAAGAAGCUGGUCCGCUAGGAUCGGUGGAGUCGACGUUGAAAUACCACCCUGAUGGAGUCUUGGCUCUAACCUGUGGCCCUGAUCGGGCAUGGGGACAGUGUCUGGUAGGCAGUUUGACUGGGCGGUCGCCUCCUAAAGAGUAACGGAGGCGCCCAAAGGUUCCCUCAGGCUGAAUGGAAACCAGCCGUAGAGUGUAAAGGCAAAAGGGAGCUUGACUGCGAGACAAACAAGUCGAGCAGAGACGAAAGUCGGGCUUAGUGAUCCUACGGUUCCGAGUGGAAGGGCCGUGGCUUAACGGACAAAAGCUACCCCGGGGAUAACAGGCUGAUCUCCUCCAAGAGUUCACAUCGACGAGGAGGUUUGGCACCUCGAUGUCGGCUCGUCGCAUCCUGGGGCUGAAGUAGGUCCCAAGGGUCCGGCUGUUCGCCGGUUAAAGCGGUACGCGAGCUGGGUUCAGACCGUCGUGAGACAGGUCGGUCUCUAUCCGCUGAGGGCGAAGGGGAUUUGAGAGGGGCUGCCCCUAGUACGAGAGGACCGGGGUGGACAGACCGCUGGUGUACCAGUUGUCUCGCCAGAGGCAUUGCUGGGUAGCUAAGUCUGGCAGCGAUAACCGCUGAAAGCAUCUAAGUGGGAAACGCGCCUCAAGAUGAGAUCCCCCACUGUAAAAGGGUAAGUGCACCGGGAGACUACCGGUUAGAUAGGCGGCAGGUGUACGCACUGUGAGGUGUUGAGCCGAGCCGUACUAAUGCACGAGGACUUAAUCCA